GAUGAACGCUGGCGGCGUGCCUAAUACAUGCAAGUCGAGCGAACAGAUGAGGAGCUUGCUCCUCUGACGUUAGCGGCGGACGGGUGAGUAACACGUGGAUAACCUACCUAUAAGACUGGGAUAACUUCGGGAAACCGGAGCUAAUACCGGAUAAUAUAUUGAACCGCAUGGUUCAAUAGUGAAAGACGGUUUUGCUGUCACUUGUAGAUGGAUCCGCGCUGCAUUAGCUAGUUGGUAAGGUAAAGGCUUACCAAGGCAACGAUGCGUAGCCGACCUGAGAGGGUGAUCGGCCACACUGGAACUGAGACACGGUCCAGACUCCUACGGGAGGCAGCAGUAGGGAAUCUUCCGCAAUGGGCGAAAGCCUGACGGAGCAACGCCGCGUGAGUGAUGAAGGUCUUCGGAUCGUAAAACUCUGUUAUUAGGGAAGAACAAAUGUGUAAGUAACUAUGCACGUCUUGACGGUACCUAAUCAGAAAGCCACGGCUAACUACGUG
rnacentral:rRNA from 1 species